UAUGGGGGGAGCAAGCGUUGUUCGGAUUUACUGGGCGUAAAGGGCGCGUAGGCGGUCGUGACAAGUCACUUGUGAAAUCUCCGGGCUUAACUCGGAACGGUCAAGUGAUACUGUCGGACUAGAGUACAGAAGGGGCAACUGGAAUUCUCGGUGUAGCGGUGAAAUGGCGUAGAUAUCGGGAGGAACACCGGUGGCGAAGGCGGGACUCUGGGCCGAUACUGACGCUGAGGAGCGAAAGCGUGGGGAGCGAACAGG
rnacentral:rRNA from 1 species